GAUGAACGCUGGCGGCGUGCCUAAUACAUGCAAGUCGAGCGAACGGACGAGAAGCUUGCUUCUCUGAUGUUAGCGGCGGACGGGUGAGUAACACGUGGAUAACCUACCUAUAAGACUGGGAUAACUACGGGAAACCGGUGCUAAUACCGGAUAAUAUUUUGAACCGCAUGGUUCAAAAGUGAAAGACGGUCUUGCUGUCACUUAUAGAUGGAUCCGCGCUGCAUUAGCUAGUUGGUAAGGUAACGGCUUACCAAGGCAACGAUGCAUAGCCGACCUGAGAGGAUGAUCGGCCACACUGGAACUGAGACACGGUCCAGACUCCUACGGGAGGCAGCAGUAGGGAAUCUUCCACAAUGGGCGAAAGCCUGACCGAGCAACGCCGCGUGGGUGAUGAAGUUCUUCGGAUCGUAAAGCUCUGUUGUUAGGGAAGAACAUAUGUGUAAGUAACUGUUCACAUCUUGACGGUACCUAAUCAAAAAGCCACGGCUAACUACGUG
rnacentral:rRNA from 1 species